rnacentral:lncRNA from 1 species
UUUAUACAUACAAAUAUAUGUAUAUAUAUAUAUAUAUAUUUUUUUUUUGAAGAUGAAAGAAUGGAAAGGUAUGAACGAUACUCAGAAGGGAAGAGGAACGAUGUAGAACAUAAACACGCUGAAAUUUAUAUUAUAAUAGGCAUUUUGUUUACAUUCACAAUAGUUUUUUUAAUAUGUAUUUAUCUCCCAUUUAACACAAACAUGGAUGAUGAAUUUUAUGAUGAAAACGAAAUUAAUGAAAAGGUUCAAUUAGUUUCUUGCUUUUAUAAUCCAAUUAUGAAAAGAUAUGAAUAUUUAACGGACAAUUUUACUCCUCCAAGUCCACAGCAGUUAUAUUAUUUUUAUAAAAAUAAAAUACCCAAUAUGUCCAUAAACGAUGAUAUCCUAAAGCUAAAUAGUUUUGAAAUUUUAAAGUUGCCCAAAAACCGAGCUAAAAAAUGUAGACUGGUAUACGAUGAAAAAACAGGAGAACUAAUUUUUUUAAAAAAAAAAAAAGAACGAGAAGACGUAAUACAUACGAUUAAACAUGAAGUAAAAAUUAAACAGUUAAAAUGAAUAUUAUGUACAGGAUAAUAAAAAAAAAAAAAAAAAAAAAAAAAAAUAAAAG